AUGAGAAAAACUACAGUCAUUGCUAAAACAGAUUGUAAAGUUGUGAUGGUCAUAUCAGAAAAAGGAGGCUUAUGGGAGAUUACAAGACAAGAGCUAGAACACAACCAUGAAUUAACACCAACUAGUAGAUUCUUCAUGUCUCAUAAGUACAUGUCAGAUGAAGAGAAGUGCUUGAUAAGGGUUUUGAAGCACACAAACCUGGAAACAAGAAGGAUUGUUGCUGUCCUAGCUUACUUGCGAGGAGGAAUGGCUCAGCUUCCCUACACAAAAAAGCAUGUGACUAACUAUGCAGCGACAGUAAACAGAGAUAUUGCAAACUCUGACAUGAUGGAAGUAGUGCAAAUGUUCAACAAGAAGCAAACAAAAAAUCCUGGAUUUUGCUACUCAUUUGAGCUUGAUGCAGAAAAUAAAGUGAGAAGCUUAUUCUGGACAGAUGUGCGGUCAAGAAUGAUGUAUGACAUUUGUGGUGAUUGCAUCAGUUUUGACACUACAUUCCUAACAAACAGAUACAAUCUACCGUUUGCACCUUUUGUGGGGAUAUCCCCACAUGGCAACACAUACUUGUUUGCUUGUGCAUUUAUCGUCAAUGAGACAAAAGAAACAUUUGCGUGGUUGUUUGAACAAUUCCUGAUGGCUAUGGGAGGAAAGCAUCCUAUAUCAAUCAUAACAGACCAGGACAAGGCAAUGCAAGCAGCAAUUGAAAAAGUCUUUCCUAAUGCUACCCAUAGGAGCUGCCUCUUCCACAUAAAGAAGAAGGCAGAGAAGAAAGUCGGGCCCUGUUUCCAAGCUAAUGAGGGACUCUACGAAGAUUUCCAGGACAUUGUGGACAACUCCUUAACGGUUGAAGAAUUUGAGACACACUGGCAAGAAAUGAUAGGAAAAUACCAAGUUCACCACAUCAAGUACUUCAACGACAUGUGGGAAAACAGGAAAAAGUUCAUCCCGGUGUAUUUCAAGGACAAAUUCUUCCCAUUCAUACAAACUACAGCGAGAAGUGAAGGAACGAAUUCCCUUUUCAAAAAAGGGGUUGGAGCUAAAUUUAGUGGUACUAGCUUUUUGAGAGAGUAUGACCGCAUACUUGAUGUUGUGCAUGACAGGGAAGAAGAAUGCGACCAUGUUAGUAGAAACAAAAAAUUUGCACAGAAAGCAUUUUGGUCGAAAUACAGCAUAGAAAGGCAAGCACAUGAGCUAUACAACAUUGGAAUAUUCAGGAAUUUCCAGUUUAAAAUGGCAGACACAACAAGGCUGCAUGUCUUUGAGCAAGAAAAGGACAAAUACUACAUUGUGACACAAGCUGAAAACUACCCCCUGAAGGAAAUCCGGAAAAGGUUGUACCUAGUGCAAGUUGGACUAAAAGAGGAAGAAUACUCUUGCAUCUGUUGCGCGUUCCAAAAAGAUGGCCUGUUGUGCUUGCACAUACUUCGAGUGAUGAUCCAUCUCAACAUCGAGAAGAUACCAGAAAAAUACAUAAUUGACAGAUGGAGGAAGAAUGAUUACAAGAUUGAUAUUACAAAGACACCAGCUGUUGCAGCUGAGAACUCCACACUAAGGUACAAUGUGUUAGCAAGGAAAUUGGUGCAUAUGGCAUCAAUAGCUUCAAAGAAGAAGAGGAAAUAUGAAUAUCUGUUGGGAGAAUUAGACAGGAUACAGAAAAGGUUACGGGAAAUGGAUGACGAAGAAGAAACAAUGGAUGAGGAGCAAAGUGCAACAACAAGAACAGUUACGUUUGUACCAACAGUAGGAGAGGGAGAAAGAACAACAUCAUCAUUCAUAAUUCAAGACCCGGACGUAGGAAAGACAAAAGGGAGACCAAGGAUGCUAACUAUUCGUGAGGCAAUAAAGCAAAACAAGUUCUACAAAUGUUCGCACUGUGGAUCACAGAGACACACAGUAAAGAACUGCACAAACCUUGACAAGGUGUACAACAAACCUAAAGGGAAACAAUCGAAGCAGUCGAACCCAAGGAAUGUCAAGAAAGGUAACUAA
rnacentral:rRNA from 1 species